UGAGGAAUAUUGGUCAAUGGACGCAAGUCUGAACCAGCCAUGCCGCGUGAAGGAUGAAGGCCUUCUGGGUUGUAAACUUCUUUUAUUGGGGAAGAAAAUUACGGUUUCUACUGUAACCGACGGUACCCAAGGAAUAAGCACCGGCUAACUCCGUGCC
rnacentral:rRNA from 1 species